rnacentral:misc_RNA from 1 species
CGCUCUGUGGCGACGCCCUCCUGUGCGAAAGCGAACUAGCGCCGCUAGCGCGCGAUGGCCGGAUGGCUCGGUCAUGUCGUGCGAACGUUGGUCGUACGCAGAGCAGAUAAGUUCUCCCGAAAAUUCUACUGCACGUAGCCCGUCCUAGCUUGUCCUGUAUCAAAACUCAGCGAAAUGAGGAACCCUCUCUGAGCGCCACGCGCGACCGUCCCUCUGGGUAAAAAAAUGCACGGAAAUCGACGUUUUCGCCUGCAUGCGCCCGCGUACUACGGUCCUACGGCCCCACCUUCCGAAGCCAACUGACAAUACUCAAGUAUGUGGCGCCUGUGCGAAUCGAUGCUGGCGGGCGGACGGUGCGACACGCAAAGUAGCGAUCUGCUGACCGAGAGAGCAUCAUUGUUUUCGGUACCCAUGGCAGCGAUUGUAGGAAUCAAACACUAGCUUGACAAGGCGCAAAUGGCGACCCGCGAGUGGAAACUCCGGCAAACGGUCGAGUCGCACGCUGGCGACGUGACGGGCUGCGACUUUUCGGGCACCACUUUGGCCACCUGCUCGAAUGACAAGACGGUGCGACUGUGGCUCUACGAGGCGGGCUCCUUCGCAGAGUCGUCCGCGUCUCCUCUGGUCGGUCACAAGUACGGCGUGAACGCGGUGCAGUUCUCGCCGCUGGGUACGGCACUCGCGUCGUGCUCUAUCGAUGGGAGCGUGUUCAUAUGGAACGUUCAGAGCGGCGAGGUGCUGGGCCAGCUGCAGCAUCCGAGUGAGGCGGCACUACGCUGCUGCAGCUUUUCGCCCUCGGGUGCAUUGCUGGCCACCGGAGGAGACGACGAGACGCUGGUGUUGUGGGACGUGGCCACACGCUCGCUGGUACGAUCUCUCGGUGGCCACGGGGCUCUGGUCACCGCAUGCAGCUUCUCCCCCGACGGUGCGCUGCUGGCUUCCGCAUCGUCGGCCGGAGAUCUACGUCUCUGGGAUGCGCGCUACGGUCACGGCAGCUGCCUGCUGACACGAUCCGAGGCUCACGACCUGGGCGCCACCGGCUGCCACUUCAGCCCCCAGUUCGAGGCCAGUCUUGCGCAGGGCACGCUCGAGAGCAGCUACCUGCUCGCGUCCUGCGGCAACGAUGACCUCGUGCGCGUGUGGCAGGUGCGCAUGGCGCACCGCUGUAGCCUCUGGUCCCAGUGGGUGUUCGAGGGCCACUCGGGAAACGUUAUGUGCUGCCGCUUUGCACCUGGCGGUCAAAUGCUAGCUUCCAGUGCCGGUGACAAGACCACCAUACUGUGGGAUGUGGGCACUGGAGAGCAGCUGCAGCGGCUGACCAAGCAUACUCGCUACGUGCCCUGCUGUGCCUUUUCAAGCGACGGCGAAUUCCUGGCCACGGGCUCCAACGAUCGUACCGUGGUUAUUUGGACUCAAGUUGAGAGCACCACGCAGGAGGAAGGGCAGGGAGAGAAACCGAAGCCCCUGCCACCGCAGCAGCAGCCACCGCCGCCCAAGGAGGGCGUCGGGGUGGCCGCGGUGGGCCGCUGGUCGGUGAACCAAGUGGGCGAAUGGCUGGAGGGCCUGGGCCUUGGACAGCACCGGGCCACCUUUGAGGAGCACGCCAUCGAUGGCCAGGAGCUGCUGCACCUGACCCAUGAGGGGCUGAGCAAUGCCCUGCAUGUGGACGCCCUGGGCACACGUGCCCGCCUGCUGCGCGAGGUGCAGGCCUUGAAGCACCCCCUGUGGCGGCACUUGCCUCCUGCUGGGGAGGACGACGCUGCCCUGCCCGAGGAGCUCUUCUGCCCCAUCACCCAGGAGCCCAUGCGCGAUCCCGUUGUGGCUGCAGAUGGUUACAGUUACGAGCGGACGGCCAUCAUCCGCUGGCUGGAGAGUGGGAAGGACACCAGUCCCAUGACGAAUGAGCCCCUGGAGCACACCAUGGUGCUGCCGAACCGCACCCUGCAAUUGCUCAUCCAGAAGUACCUGCGCUAGAGGCAUGCCUGAGUGGCGUCCACAGGCAUCGCCUGCAUGCGCCUGGGUAACCUUGCACUGGGUGUGUGCUUCACUUGACGUGGUAGGUAACAGGGAAGCACUGUGGAACUCUGCUCUGUGAUGCGAGGUUAAGCACAGGAUCUGGAGAUCUUAGCUGCACAGUUCAGCGUACUCACUCUCACUAAUUUCACAUUUGUGGGCAUGAGUGAUUGAUGCUGAUGGACUUGGGUGUGAGUGUGAAUGAUAGUUAGGAUGAGUGUAUACAUGAGUGCAAGGGAAUGUGAGCAUGAAUGUGAACAUUAAUUUGAGCAUGAAUGUGAGUGCCAAUAAGGGUUAGCAGAAGUACAUGUGCAAAUGUGAGUGUCAAUCAGCAUGAGGGGGCGCAAGCAGGAGUGCAAUCUUGUGGCAAUGAGCUUGAGUCGUUGCACUAUCCAGAAAAAAAAAGGACAGCUUUGAUGAGUAAGUGUCCACUUAUUCUGCUGACUCAUGACUACGGGUCAUGCGCCCGGCUGCCCGGCUGUAUGAUCUCCAAGUCUUGUGUUCAGUUUCACAUCAGAGCUCAGUGUUCCGCUGUGUCUCGGCAUGAAAUGUAUCUACUGCAACACAUAACGGGGAAGUGCAUUUAUGCCAUAUAGCGUUUGAAUUUCAUCGCUUCGCUGCUCCUGUUUCCCACCAAUGUCUAGUAUACCAACAUCAGAGUGCUGUUGCUAUGUGGCCCAGAUCUUUAGUUGUGAUAUGUACAACUUUCCUCGUAGGACCAAAUACCCAUAGCUUUGUUCAAAGAAGAUAGGCCUACACAGCACUGUAAGAGAAUGCAGGCAUUAGAACAAUAGGAUCGCUGUGCGACAGCAUUUACGCCACCAUUCCUGCGUGAAAUUGCACCACCUUCUUGUGAAGCCACCCCCCUCUCCCUCACUUGUUCGCUCCUUGCACCGAUUUCGAGAGCUGAACGCAAUUGUUAUUCCAGCAGUGGUAAUUAUGAGACCUCUGCAAACUCUGCAAUAGAUUGCAGUUUUGGCAGCUGACACCGGGGACGAAGGGAAGCUUCAAACUAGGAAUGAGUCAUAAGAUACUUAAUGUAAGCCUAAUUAAACCACACCUGGUGGAACAAGGGAGUCAUUACGCAUAAAACUGAAAUGGUUCGACUAAUGCUGCAAUGAACAGAAGAACUUUAAAAAACACUGAAGUGGUAUAAAUGGCCUUUGAUGGAUCGAGGAAUCACGUUUCUAAAAUACCAGAAACAUCAGUAUUACUGCAGAUUGAGGCUUGGUUAGCCAGAAAAGGUACGAAAACGAAGGAAGGGCUAGACGUUUUUGUGCUAGCUCUUCAUGAUGUAAAAAAGUUUGGGGAGUGUGUUUAGGUCUAAUUAAUAAUUUAUCAAUGAACUAGGAUAACAUGGUGUUCUCAGCAACCAGAAGCUCAACCUAGAAGUAUUGCUAACUUUUUCUAAACUGCAACUGCCCAAAAACUGUACUUUGAAAUCCACGACAUUCUGCCUUAGUGGUGCUGCUGCAUUUGGGAAUGUGAGUGCCGAGGUGGAAAGGUUGCCACUAACAUUCCGUGCUAAUGGCUUACCUUUUUACAGGAUAAAUGCAAAUUACGUGUUGAAAAACACCUCACAAGAUUACACUACAUUUGUGCCACUCUUUACUGUCAUUUUGAACAAAGAAUCGUGUGCCUCAUUUCAUGUUCAAAGUGAUACAUGGCUGUGAAGCUCACAGACAAGCGUUUAUUUCGUCAUGGCUUAGCAAAAGUAUCAAUGUGAUAUAAUUGUUCCUUCUUGCCUUCCAGUUUCUUUCACCAUUCAGACAAAAUCCUGCUGUAAACCACUUCAUCAUUACUAGGUUCUCUGCUUUGGGGUUAUGACUAGGCUUGUAUGAAUGGUACAUUUUAGGUUCGAAGCGAAUUCGAAGCGAAUAGUGAUUUGGUAGAAUAAUUUCGGAUCGAAUUCGAACAGAAUACGGCACAUAUUAUAAAGAAACAUGAGUAUAUUUGUCAUGACCCAACUAACCUGCACAAAAUUUUUUUUUAAGUGAAACAAGACUAGUUAGUUGGUUCAUUUGGUUUUUAUGGCACAAAAGCAGCUAAUGCUAUGAUGUGCCAGUCACAAGGUGUUGAGCAAUGAACAGUGAAAUGAUGCAAACAAGGCAUGUGCAAAUGUCAUUCUUUUUGGUUCAAAGGAAGUGGAAGCAACUUUGAAUAGUAGCAAGAUUUGACUUUCGGUAGAACGCAAGUGAUAACCUGUAAAAUAUGUUACGUUUUAAAAUUUACUAUGCUUAGAGCAUAUAAGCCGGUAUAACAAGCUUUUAAACCUAAAAAAUUAUCAAUGUGAGGGUAAUAUGUUCAUUUAACCUUGAAGUGGGGCUUCGCGGCAAUGCGGAUUUUCUCUGGAAAGGUAUACUCACGGCAUAGCACCCCUCCACUGCAGCGAAACCACCUUUACAGGGGGGCAGGGGGGGGGGGUUACAUGCAGACAAUAUACACCUAUUCGUUCAUUUCGAAUACUUAGAAAUUUCCAAUAAUUUAAAUUCGAAUCGAAGCGAAUUCAAAUACUGUAAUAUUUGUUAUUCGCACAAGCCUAGUUAUGACGACUAGUAGAGCUGUAGUUGUGGCUAGUUGGUUACAAAUUUUGAUUGCAAUGCAUUUCCGAGCAGCAAAAACAAGGGGAAAGGACACUGGCAUCACAGAGACGAGUGGUUGUCCGCACAUAUUAUGUGCAUCUUUUCUUUUUAGUGUUCUUUUUGCUCGGUAGUGUGUUUCGAUCGAUGACGUGAUGACGGCGAAGUCCUUAUGAGCCAAAUUUACCCCCUUACCAUCUGAUUUGAUUCUGUGGUAGGGGCUGAGAAGUGACAUUGUCACAGUCCAGCCAUUUAUACGUAUGCAGUAAGCAACAGUUAUUUAGGUAAGCAGUAAAUGCAUUACAUUUAUAGGCAGAUAAAUUUAGAGAAUGUUCCCUUGACUAUGUAAAGCAGUGUUAUGGAUUAAACGGGUAAGUUUUAGCGGUUCUGCUAUAACAAAGCCUUUCGUAUGCUGACAGGGACAUGGCUGGAAUGGGUGUAACGUGGCGGGCACGGAAGCGUGUUGCAACUACUCUUGUGUCCUCUGCUUGCCCUCAAAUAAAGUUCUUUUCCUCACCACGUGGAUUCCUGUGAGUUGUCGAGGUUGAAGAGCUUGUGGCCAGGAAAGACAAUGCUAUGGCCUAUUGCAGACAGGUCUGAAGUGAUGAAGCCCUGUGGCUUCGAGCAAGUGUGGUGCGCCUCACUCAGCAAUAUCUGAUGAAAUCUACUUGUGUUUGUGCAUCGGCAUCGCACAAAGCUGGUCAGUGUGCUUUCUAACGGGAAGUUGUGUGGAUUGUUGCCAUUGUCCUGGUAUUAUUUACUCAAUAAAUUUUUAUCCAAGAA